GCCGUGUUAGCUCAGCGGUAGAGCAAAGGUUUCGUAAACCUUAGGUCAGGGGUUCAAAUCCCCUACACGGCU
rnacentral:tRNA from 1 species